GGCGCCACUCCGAGGGGCAGGCCCCGGAGCAACCGGAGGAGUCGCGCCAUGACGCCCGUUCGGGCACCGCCCCACCCUCUGCCCUCUGCCCGCCUCUGCCCUGCCCCCAACCUACCCCUCUCCCAUUCCUCCCCUCCGCCGGAGCCAGUCGGCCUCCCUCCCCACGCUCCGCCCCACCGCCCGCCCCGGCUUCUCCGUUUCGUGCCCCUCCCUCCUUCCCAACUUCCCACCUGCUCCUCCCGCUACGUGCCCUAGGCCCUUCCAGGUCCGCGGCCCUCUUCCUUCCCACUCUGCCUCUGUCUCCUCCUCUCUGUUCCCCUCCUUUUCCCCUCGCCUUUCCUCCCCCUUCCUCUCUCCCUUCCCUUCUAUGAGACCCUCCCCAGCCCUUCUCUGCAUCUCCCAGCUCCUCCCACUCCUGCUCCUCCCUCGCCCUGCCCCACUCCACCCAUCCCCAUUCCACUCUUCCUCAGCCCAAACACUGAUCUAUUUUAGUCUGCAUUUUCUAGAGUCGUCCGUAAAUGGAAUCAUCCCAUAGGUACUUGAUUUUGUCUGGCUUCUUUCAUUCAGCAUAGUUACUUUGACAUGCCUGAGUGUUUUUGCAAGCAACAACCAUUCAUACCUCGCUAGUGCUGAGCAGUAUUCCAUUAUGGCUAUACCACGGUGCGUUUAUCUAAUCACCACUUGAUUUAGGCUGCUUUCAGUUUUUCCUGACCAGAACUACAGCUGCUAGGAACAUUCCUGUGCAAAUCUUUGUACAGACAUAUACGGAUUUUCUUCUCUGGGGUAAAUACCUGGAAAUGGAAUGCCUAGGUCAUAAGACACAAGGUUUCACCAUGUUGCCUAGGCUGGUCUCAAACUCCUGGGCUCACAUGAUCCACCUGCCUUGGCCUCCCAACGUGCUGGAUUUACAGGGGACACCUGCAGUCUUGAAAGGCAAGGAGAAUGGACAUUACUCUCUAAAACCCCAGUCUCACCAUGAUGUAUACAUACAUGAUGCAUCUCAGAGUUUUGGCUGACUGAAUAUAUUCAGAGUACAGAAUGAGACAAACAGUUGAGUAUACUUUUAUUCGGCUCCAGUGUCCUCAGUGUGGUUGCAGCCGUCACUGGAAGAAACUUUCAAGCCUCUACUACUAUUACUUAAGAAAACGUCUGCAUGGAAAUUCUAUCCCCAACUGAACCUGAACCGAAGCCUGCAGAUGAGGGCCAGGCUCCCCAGCUUCCCGGAACAAGCAGACAGUUAUUAAUGGAAAUGCUCUCGCUACUCAGGCAUGGUGACUCACACCUGUAAUCCCAGUGCUUUGAGAGGUCGAGGAGUGGAGAUCACUCGGGGCCAGGAGUUCAAGAACAGGCUGGGCAACACAGGAAGACACCUAUCUCCACAAAAAUGUUUAAAAAUUAGCCAGACAUUGGCUGGACAGGGUGGCUCACACCUGUAAACUCAGCACUUUGGGAGGCCGAGGCAAACAGAUCACUUGAGGUCAGGAGUUCAAGACCAGCCUGCCCAACAUGGUAAAACCCUAUCCCUCCUAAAAUUCCAAAAAAAAAAAAAAAACUAGCUUGGUGUUAUGGCAGGCACCUGUAAUCCCAGCCACUUGGGAGGCUGAAGCAGGGGAAUUGCUUGAACCCGGCGGGUGGAGGUUGCAGUGAGCCGAGAUUGUGCCGCUGUACUCCAGCAACAGAGUGAGACUCAAUCUCAAAAAAAGAAAAAAAAUUAGCCAGGUUUGAUGGCUCGAGCCUGUAAUCCCUGUUACUUGGGAGGCUGAGGUGAAAGGUGGAAGUGAGAGGAUCACUUGAGCCCAGGAGUUGGAGGUUGCAGUGAGCUGUGACGGUGCCACUGCUCUCCAGCCUGAGUAAUACAGUAAGACCCUGUCACUAAAAAUAAAAUUUUUAAAAAAAUGAAAUAAAAGUUAUUUUCUUUUCAGUUGUGCCAGUGAUGAAAUGAUGAGAAUGAUGGUGCUCAGGAUAUUCUACCCCAAAAUACAGCACCUUGGCACACUGAAUAUUUUCAGCUGAAGGAACUUGAGAAACAGCAGAAGGAAGAAGCCUCCCUGGCCUUUCCCUGCCCUCUCCUGAAGACCGUCAUGUGAGAGGUGCCCUUCCUAUACCUGGAGGAAAGGAAUAUCCUUAUCUGUGAAGACAGGGUCACAGGAAGGAAUCUGAACAGGGUGGCUGGGUUUCCCCAGCUUAUUCCUAUUAUUUCAGUCUCUUUUACCUGAUCCAUUUCUCCAGAAGUGUCCACUCUUCAUCAAGUCUGCCAUAAAAACAGUGUUAGCUCUUUCUGAUGGGGUCUUCAUUUUCUUUUGAAGGCUUUCUUGUCAUGUAAAACUUACUAAAUAAAUUUAUAUGUUUA